GCCGAAAAAAACUCCAUCAUUUUUGUUUUUGUUUUUUUGUUUUUGUGGGAAGUCAAUUUUUUUUGCGGAAACUCCGUCAUUUUUAUUUUUGAAGUAUUCUGCGUGGCAUACACGGGGUUUUUAAUCUUCCAAAUCCGCGAAUGGUAGGAGCCGCCGAGGUGUCGCCCGGGAAGACGAAGUGGGGGCGGAUAGGGAGGCACCGGGGGCUGCUGGCAAUGGCGCCCGUCAGGAUCGCCGGCGGCGGCUGCGGCUGCUCAUGGGUUCCGACCUACGACCAGGUGGUGCCUUCAGGGACGUCGCGCCGUUGGCGGUGGGUGCCCCUGCUCCGCAUAAAGGCCGGCGGCGCCAGGGAGGCUGCUGCUACAGCUUAUAUAAGCCUGGAUGAGCAUGGGGAGGCCAGAAGGGCCAUUAAUACACUGGUCACUGGUCAAUCGCAAGAACGAUUGUGACACUCUGCCUCAUGGAUUUAAGUGGAAGCAAUCAUAGCCAUACCAGACGUAGAUUAUUGCUUGGUUUUUCCUCUCCAAGAUGUUUACAGAAAUCCCAAGGCUGGCCAACAUUCUGACUUGCCAGUGGACGUUGAGCUGCUUGACGACUGUACCUACUGUUUUGCAGAGGAAUGGCCAAGUUACUAAUGCCAUCCAGCUAAUUUUUCACAUCAAUAGAUUAAUUGAUGUGACUACCUGAAGGAGAUCACCAACAUUGACGAAAUAGGCCGAAGAGUCUGCUGGCACCUGAAUCCACACAUCCUUGCCGUUGAUGUCCGGCAGAAGCACCUGCAAGCCAUCAACGUCGUUUGCUCGGAGCAAGCUAAGUAGCUGUGGGUCGGAGUGCUCACCGAACCCGAUCCGGCCACCCGCCGCCGGAUUCCCACCGUUACCAGCCUUGGUCCUGGCAACCC